GCACCAGCAGCCAGUCCAUGAGCGGGUACCCGGCGCCGCCCACCACCCACUGCCCCUGCAGCAAGCCCGCGGCGCCGCGCUGCGCGUAGAGCGCGGAGCGGUCCAGCACGUCGGCGUCGGACAUGGAGCCCGGCCAGCCGAUGCAGACGUCCGUGAAGGCGCCGCCGGCGUCCACCACGCCCUGCACCGUGAUGGAGUACGAGGUCUUCUGAUUCCUCUCCGUGUGGCGGCGGUUGUAGUAGGCGGCGACGUUGGCCUUGGGCGCGAUGAUGGGGAUGUGGGUGGUGUACAUGGCGCCGACGACGCCCGGGAUCCCCGACGCGGCCUCGAAGGUCGCGGACACGCCCGCGGCGGCGUC
rnacentral:lncRNA from 1 species